GUUCUAAACUUUCUUUGUCUAUUAGAUCGAUCGCUCUCUCUCGCUCGCCUAAUUGCAGAGACAGUCUUCUCCGAGGCCUAUCACUCAAGAUGGAACAUUCUCUCUCCUUGCUUACAUUUAAAGGUUCUAUUACUGAAGCAAUUAUAGAAGCCAAAAGGCAGAAGAAACUCUUUGUCGUCUAUAUUUCAGGUGAAGAUGCUGAGUCUAGUUGUUUGGAAGAAUCCACAUGGACUAAUUCAAAUGUUCGCUUUCUUCCCUUUUUUUUUUUUUUUUUUUUUUCAUUUUUAGUUGGUCAGAGUUUUCCUUUAAUUCCUUUAAUAUGCACUCUAUCUAUGGUUCUUACGUUCAAAAGCUGCAUUCAGGUGGCAGAGUCAGUUGAACGUUUUGUUACAUUGAUACCCUUAAUCGAAAAAG